rnacentral:rRNA from 1 species
UACGGAGGGAGCUAGCGUUGUUCGGAAUUACUGGGCGUAAAGCGCACGUAGGCGGCUUUGUAAGUUAGAGGUGAAAGCCCGGGGCUCAACUCCGGAAUUGCCUUUAAGACUGCAUCGCUUGAAUCAUGGAGAGGUUAGUGGAAUUCCGAGUGUAGAGGUGAAAUUCGUAGAUAUUCGGAAGAACACCAGUGGCGAAGGCGACUAACUGGACAUGUAUUGACGCUGAGGUACGAAAGCGUGGGGAGCAAACAGG